rnacentral:rRNA from 1 species
AGCGAACGUUUGCGGCGGGCUUAACACAUGCAAGUCGAACGAGAAUCCCUUCGGGGAGGAAAGUGGCGCACGGGUGCGUAACACGUGGAUAACCAACCCAUUGGUUUGGGACAACACCGGGAAACUGGUGCUAAUACCAGAUGUGUCGCAGCUGUCUUCAGGCGGUUGCGAGAAAGGCCCGCAAGGGUCGCCAACGGACGGGUCCGCGUCCCAUCAGCUAGUUGGUGAGGUAAUGGCUCACCAAGGCAAAGACGGGUAGCUGGUCUGAGAGGAUGAUCAGCCACACUGGAACUGAGACACGGUCCAGACUCCUACGGGAGGCAGCAGUGGGGAAUAUUGCGCAAUGGGCGAAAGCCUGACGCAGCCACGCCGCGUGAGCGAUGAAGGUCUUCGGAUCGUAAAGCUCUGUGGGGGGAGAAGAAGAAAGCCGGUGAAGAGCCGGCCCUGACGGUAUCCCCUUAGCAAGCACCGGCUAACUCCGUGCCAGCAGCCGCGGUAAUGUCG